GACGAACGCUGGCGGCGUGCUUAACACAUGCAAGUCGAACGGUGAUGCUCCAGCUUGCUGGAGUGGAUCAGCGGCGAACGGGUGAGUAACACGUGAGCAACCUGCCCCAGACUCUGGAAUAAGCGCUGGAAACGGCGUCUAAUACUGGAUACGAAACUGGCCCGCAUGGGCAUGGUUUGGAAAGUUUUUCGGGUUGGGAUGGGCUCGCGGCCUAUCAGCUUGUUGGUGAGGUAAUGGCUCACCAAGGCGACGACGGGUAGCCGGCCUGAGAGGGCGACCGGCCACACUGGGACUGAGACACGGCCCAGACUCCUACGGGAGGCAGCAGUGGGGAAUAUUGCACAAUGGGCGAAAGCCUGAUGCAGCGACGCCGCGUGAGGGAUGACGGCCUUCGGGUUGUAAACCUCUUUCAGCAGGGAAGAAGCGAAAGUGACGGUACCUGCAGAAGAAGCACCGGCUAACUACGUG
rnacentral:rRNA from 1 species